UAGAACCCUGUGUGUGCUCACCCAGACUUGCUUCCUGGGAUCUGUGGGACUGGGUUUCCUUCCUCCUUUCUUUCUUUCUUUCUUUCUUUCUUUCUUUCUUUCUUUCUUUCUUUCUUUCUUUCUUUCUUUCUUUCUGUUUCUUUCCUUUUCUUUCUUUCUUCCUUUUUUCCUCCUUUCCUCCCUCCCUUCCUCCCUCUCUCUCUCUCUCUCUUUUUCUUUUUUUCAAAACAGGGUUUCUUUGUAUAUCCCUGGCUGUCCUGGAGCUGACUCUGUAGGCUUGGCUGGCCUGGAACUCAGAGAGAUCCGCCUGCCUCUGCCUCCUGAGUGCUGGGAUUAAAGGUGUGCACCACCACCGCCCGGCAGUUUCUUUCUUGUGACUGUGUUUUCUAUGCCUGUCUGUGUGAUGCCAUGGAGCUUACAAUGAUACAUAAGAAAGAAUUUGACUUGGGAAGUGGUGAGGCAUGCCAUGUUGAGCUCAGGGAUAGAGAACAUCCGGCCCAGCUAUUGACUCCUCAGCUUUUCUCCAGUGGCUACAUGAGCUGGCAAAGGAUUAGGGGUGGGCACAUAUGGUGAAAUGGAGAAAAUACUGCAAGUGAGGAGGCUGAGGGCCUGAGUGACCGGUCCACAGAGUCACUCAUGCACACAGUGGAGUCACUCAGCAUGAAGGCCCUAUGGUCCUGUAAAUCUUCCGAUGUGAAGAGCCCCGGGACUGCUCCUACAGGCCAUUGCUUAGUUCCUGACUGUCCUUCACAACCAAUCCAAAUUCUGUACACCAAGGAGGACCUGGGACAGUGCCAUGGCUACUGCAAGUGCCAAAUCGCAGAAAGGAGUGAAUGUAAGCAAGGACUUCCCUGAGUUUUCCUCUAGCAGAUUAAUCAAACCCAAGUUGAGGGUGUGGAGACCCCACUUACAGCCUGCCAGUCAGAAGCUCGGGCAAGACCAGGAGCUUUCAACUGGCGCUGAAGUACAGCAGUCUGAGGAUGAGGGUUCAGCCUGUGGUUCUGACACUAUCUCCAGUGAGCCUGGACACAGCAUGCCUGUAAGAAUGACAGUGAUUAUAAUGGAGGCGACACUCACCAGCUGCUUCCUGUGCCCUACAAUCUGUAGGAGAAGAUGUGUCAUGCUACAUGGGGUGCGGGAAGGUUCAGAUGUAAAGAAUAAAAUUUGCUGGCACCGGGGUCAUCUUUUCUGAACUGCAUUCUCAUUGCAUUUGACCAGUAAAACAACAUAGUGCAUAUUGUGACAAACGGAAAUAAAGCAUGAACUAAAAAUCUAA